rnacentral:tRNA from 1 species
GCCCCCGUAGCUCAGUGGAUAGAGCACCUGGUUGCGGACCAGGAGGUCAGAGGUUCAAAUCCUCUCGGGGGUGCCA